AUUGAACGCUGGCGGCAUGCCUUACACAUGCAAGUCGAACGGAAGCGCGGACUUCGGUCUGGCGGCGAGUGGCGAACGGGUGAGUAAUACAUAGGAACGUACCCUGUUGAGGGGGAUAACUAGUCGAAAGAUAAGCUAAUACCGCAUACGACCUGAGGGUGAAAGGGGGGGACCGAAAGGCCAAAAGCAGCAGGAGCGGCCGAUGUCUGAUUAGCUAGUUGGUGGGGUAAAGGCCCACCAAGGCGACGAUCAGUAGCUAGUCUGAGAGGACGAUCAGCCACACUGGGACUGAGACACGGCCCAGACUCCUACGGGAGGCAGCAGUGGGGAAUUUUGGACAAUGGGGGCAACCCUGAUCCAGCAAUGCCGCGUGUGUGAAGAAGGCCUUCGGGUUGUAAAGCACUUUUGUCCGGAAAGAAAUCGCGCUUGUUAAUCCCUGGCGUGGAUGACGGUACCGGAAGAAUAAGCCCCGGCUAACUACGUG
rnacentral:rRNA from 1 species